AUAAGUAAUGUGAAUUGCAGAUUUCAGUGAAUCAUCGAAUCUUUGAACGCACCUUGCACCCUGUGGUAUUCCACAGGGUAUGCCCGUUUGAGUAUCAUUAAAUCAUCAACUCCAAAAACCUUUGUGUUCCUUGGUGCCUUGGUCUUGAGGGUCAUUGCA
rnacentral:rRNA from 1 species